rnacentral:rRNA from 1 species
CCUUUGACGUUAGCGGCGGACGGGUGGAGUAACACGUGGGUAACCUACCUAUAAGACUGGGAGUAACUUUCGGGAAACCGGAAGCUAAUACCGGAUAAUAUUUCGAACCGCAUGGUUCGAUAGUGAAAGAUGGUUUUGCUAUCACUUAUAGAUGGACCCGCGCCGUAUUAGCUAGUUGGUAAGGUAACGGCUUACCAAGGCGACGAUACGUAGCCGACCUGAGAGGGUGAUCGGCCACACUGGAACUGAGACACGGUCCAGACUCCUACGGGAGGCAGCAGCC